UGGGGAAUUUUGGACAAUGGGGGAAACCCUGAUCCAGCCAUCCCGCGUGUGCGAUGAAGGCCUUCGGGUUGUAAAGCACUUUUGGCAGGAAAGAAACGUCAUGGGUUAAUACCCCGUGAAACUGACGGUACCUGCAGAAUAAGCACCGGCUAACUACGUGCCAGCAGCCGCGGUAAUACGUAGGGUGCAAGCGUUAAUCGGAAUUACUGGGCGUAAAGCGUGCGCAGGCGGUUCGGAAAGAAAGAUGUGAAAUCCCAGAGCUCAACUUUGGAACUGCAUUUUUAACUACCGGGCUUGAGUGUGUCAGAGGGAGGUGGAAUUCCGCGUGUAGCAGUGAAAUGCGUAGAUAUGCGGAGGAACACCGAUGGCGAAGGCAGCCUCCUGGGAUAACACUGACGCUCAUGCACGAAAGCGUGGGGAGCAAACAGG
rnacentral:rRNA from 1 species